CUUAAGUGCAGUUGCGAGUUUUUGCGUUCAACGUUUGACAAUUCAUUUUAUUUUAAUUUUUUAUGAUUAGUCUUUUUAUUCUUAUUAGGUGAUAAACCAUGAAUAUUAUUUAUGUGUGACUUGUUUUUCUAAAUCUUUUAAUAAAUUUUUUAAAUAAGACGAACAAUUAUACAAUGGACAUAGAAAGUCGUCAGAACAUCACUUAAA
rfam:Oryza nivara chromosome 4, whole genome shotgun sequence.